CACGGGGGGAGCAAGCGUUGUUCGGAAUCACUGGGCGUAAAGGGUGUCUAGGCGGUCAGGUAAGUGAGAUGUGAAAUGCCCCGGCUUACCCGGGGACCGGCAUCUCAUACUGUCUGGCUUGAGUAUGGGAGAGGAUGAGGGAAUUCCUGGUGUAGCGGUGAAAUGCGUAGAUAUCAGGAGGAACACCUGUGGUGUAGACAGCUUACUGGACCACGACUGACGCUGAGACACGAAAGCGUGGGUAGCAAACAGG
rnacentral:rRNA from 1 species